CACGUAGGGCGCAAGCGUUGUCCGGAAUUAUUGGGCGUAAAGAGCUCGUAGGCGGUCUGUUGCGUCCGCUGUGAAAACUCGGGGCUUAACCCCGAGCCUGCAGUGGAUACGGGCAGACUAGAGGUAGGUAGGGGAGAAUGGAAUUCCCGGUGUAGCGGUGAAAUGCGCAGAUAUCGGGAGGAACACCGGUGGCGAAGGCGGGUCUCUGGGCCGAUAUUGACGGCUGAGGAGCGAAAGCGUGGGGAGCGAACAGG
rnacentral:rRNA from 1 species